rnacentral:rRNA from 1 species
AGCAGUCGCCGCGGGAAUACGUAGGUGGCAAGCGUUGUCCGGAAUUAUUGGGCGUAAAGGGCUCGCAGGCGGUUUCUUAAGUCUGAUGUGAAAGCCCCCGGCUCAACCGGGGAGGGUCAUUGGAAACUGGGAAACUUGAGUGCAGAAGAGGAGAGUGGAAUUCCACGUGUAGCGGUGAAAUGCGUAGAGAUGUGGAGGAACACCAGUGGCGAAAGCGACUCUCUGGUCUGUAACUGACGCUGAGGAGCGAAAGCGUGGGGAGCGAACAGGAUUAGAUACCCCAGUAGUCCCUGUCUCUUAUAC